UUUUAUAAACUUGUAAUAAAACACGACAGCAACACGAAAACUGAAACAAAAGAAAUUAAAAUCUAUUUUGUUCAAGACAAAAAUUUACAGUGAAAGUUGAGGCAGCACAGCCCCAAAAACUCUGGACCAAGAAGGAUAAAAGUUCUAUGUGCCUGUGCCUGUGCCUGUGCGUGUGCGUCUGUGCGUCUGUGUAUGUGUGAGUGAGCGUGUGUGUGUGCGCGACAGCAAAAGGAAUAGAGAAAGCAAAGCAUCCCGUAGGAGUGGCACACAUACAAAAGUGUUUGCAUAACUUAAGGCGCCCGCUACCCUGCGCGCAUAUACACAUACAUAUAUACGUAUUGGUGUGUGUGUAUAUAGAGCCAAUAUAAUGUGAUUAAAGGCAAGUCCGAAUCUCUGUACAAAAGGAAUUGAUACCAAAUAUAGGACAAAUGCUGCCUGGUGGUUAUUGUGAACCAAAAAUAAAUACACAAUAGCAUCGGAAAUUUUCAGUGAUAUGAUUUAAAGGCGUGGCUGCUGUCUGGGACAACUCUCAAUCGCAAUGGAUCCGCCCAGGACGGCCUAUAGCCUUGUCUUCUGUGCUGUCAUGAGUACACUGAUUAUUAUACUUGGUUACGUUAUUUACAUCAUAUACACUUUUUGCUACGGGUACGCUGAAGCAGAAUUUCGCAGUCGAUUUUUCGCGCUCUGGGCUAAUAACACUGUAGAAGAUGAUAGCUUUGCGUCAGUAUGGUUCCGAUAUAGCUACGAUUAAUGCAAUUUCGCUGUUGAUUGUGCAAAGAAGAAAAACUGAAAUAUUUGUGCUGGAAUUCAAGAAUAAUAUCCUUUCAAAAAAAAAUUGCAUCCAUAUGCUCGUAUUCCAACGUAUGUGUACACAUACUUGUAACAUAUGCUAGCAUAAAUCCUUAAAACACAACAACAACUUUUAUAAAACUGUAAAACUAUGAUCUCCAAAUUAAUUGUAUCGAUAAAGAGAAAAGAUGGUUAAGAACAAUAAAUUACGUGUUUAUGACAAGCAAA